rnacentral:lncRNA from 10 species
GUUUCUCUCUCUCUUUCUCUCCCUCCCUCCCGCCUCCUCCCCAUCUCCGUCCCCCUCUCUCCCUCUUCCUCCCUGCCUCUCUUCUGUCUUCCCUCUCUCUCUCUCCCCACCUCCUUUCCUUCUCUCUCUCCCCCACCACUUUCUCUCCCCCCUCCUCCUCUUCCCCUCCUCCCUCUCCUUCCUUCCCUCCCUUUUCUCUCCGCUCUCUCACUCUCUUCUUGUUUCAAGAUUUUUGCUAUUUGCCAGGUUUCAUACCGGAACAAGUACAGUUGGAGAACAAAAGUUGCAGAGGGCGUGGGGACAGAGCAAAAGAAUUAAAAGUACAUUUGAGGCCAGUUCCGGUUUUCGGGGCGCUGCUGGUGGUGGUGGUAGCUCGUGGUUGUCCGUUCAGAAACAACUCUUGUCAUAAAACAAAAAUAACCAGCAGUAUUUGUAGAUUGCUUGAGCUGAUGGCAUCUAUGUCUUCCUCCUCCUGCUUUCUGUAGCUCAGUUAGCAACCUCAUUAUGAAACAUAUUACAAGUAGACUGUCAGACCGCACCCUGCCCCAGCGCCCCGUUUUUGGCAAGUUCUGUGUUCUAGGCAUAUCCACCAAUCUAUAGUUAUACCCCCCUAUCUUUUUAACUUUUUUAGUUUUAGUCUAUAGAGUUGAACCUCUUUAUACUGAAAAACAACACUUCCUUCCCACUUUUGUUUUGGAAAAACUAAAGUCCGUAGGAAUUCGGAAUUCAAAGGCUUCAGAAAUAUUAGCUGAUUCAGCAGAAAACGGGCUAUUCAAAAAUACAGACUAGACCUUUACUUGAUUAAAAAAUUUUUUUUCUUUUCUCACCUCCUGCAAAUCGGAAUUCCCACUUGUAUGUUGAAUGUAGAAAUUCACUAUCUCUGCGGUUGGCACCUUGUUUCCAGAGGGCGAGUCUCCAGAACGCAUCAGCUGCAGAUGAAAAGUUUGAUGAUGUGGAAUGUGGAAAUUUUGGAGAUGGGGUCUUGCUUUGGUACACAGGCUAGAGUGCAGUGAUCAUGACCAUAGCUCACUACAGCCUCAAACUCUUGGGCUCUAGCAAUCAUCUCUCCUCAGCCUCCCAAAGAGCUGGGACUACAGGCAUGCACCGAAGCUUUAUUUUCAAAAUAUAAUUUCAGAAGCCAUGGUGACUUUGUCUAGAAGUAAGUGUGGAGGAGGCGAGAUUUUGUGUCUACAUGAGCUUCCUGCACAGGUGAACACAUCCUCGUUGUUGGAAUCUCUCCAUGGCAGAUGCAGGAAUUUUUACUUAGACUUCCUUCCACACAGCACAUCAAUAAAUAUGGAAAUGAAGACUUCAAAUCUCACUUCUGAUGAAACAAUAUGCUGUCUAAAUUCAGUUAAUUGUAAGGUACUUAGUGUUGAAAGACAAAGAUAUGCUAAUCUUAUUAAAAUAUGCCUGGUGAAAUUCAGCUGUAAAUUCCAUUCAGGGACUCCUGCGUUCUACAUUGAUCCACGUCACAAUGUCUGGAAAGAAAACCACCCACCGUGCAGGAUGCAGAGUUAGUAAAUUAGAAAGGUGAAAAGUUUAAUGAAGAGUCUAUCUUCUGGAGAAGAAGUACAACAAGGCGGAAUGCUUAAUAUUUUUUUUUGUUUGUUUAGAUUAAACCAACUGAGAGCUCUUUACAUUGUUUACAUUUAUGUUACUCAGUAAGAAAAGCUUUUAACAUUUUCUCUGUUUCAUGUGAAUUGAAGUUGUUUUUAACUAUAUACGAGGGAGGGAAAGAGUCUUCACUAAAGAUGCAGCUCAAGCCUGUUUAGACAGACUCAACCAAUUUUUAAUUUUCUAGGGAGUUAAGGAGUGUGGCAUUUUGAAUUUGUGGUUAAGGGCCUGACUAGAGAUUUUGAUACCAAAGGUUUCGAUCCUGACAUCUUUUGUUCAUGUUGCUAUGUAACUUUGUGCAUUUUUUUUUCCAGGCAGGGUCUCACUCUUUCACCCAGGCUGGAGUGCAGUGGCAUGAUCAUGGCUCACUGCAGCCUCAAACUCUCAGGCUUUGAGCUUCUGAAGACCUUUGUUUCUUUAUAUGUAAUCUGGGGUAAACCCAUGUUGUAUUUUUAAAAGAACAUUUAUUUUUAUUUAUUCUUAUAGACUAAAAUAUCUAUUCUUUAUAGAAUAUUUAUAAGCAUUCAUAUAUAACAUUAUACAAUUUCAAUAAAUAUAUAUAUAUUUAUUUACACACACACACACCCCCCCCACAAUCGUUCAUAAUCCAGCCACUCAGAGAUAACCUCUAUUCCAUUUAUGUUGGACUCCCAGCCACUUAGCCAUCCAUCCGUGCACAUCUGUACAUGUGCAUGAAUCUAACCACCCAUUAAUGAAGACUAGAUUACACAGCACCUAUUUUUUUUUAUAACCUGGUAUAUCCAAUUAAUAUAUGGUGAGUAUCUUCCCACAUUAUUAUAUAUUCUUCCAUAUAAUGGCAAUAAUUUUAUUUUUGAAAAAUCCCCCAUAAUUUAUUGAACCAGGACCAUAUUGUUAGGCAUUUGGUUUGUUCUCUUUUUGUUAGUCAUUGUAAACAAUGCUGCAGCGAAAUCUCUAUGUGUUAUAUCCUUAGGCACAUCUGUGAUUAUUUGCUUAGUCUGAUUUAAACUGGUUGUGAUAACGUGUUUUAAAGAAGUGUGUAUAUAUCUCAUUAUGGAUUAGUGUUUAUGGCACUGUAAUAAAGAUACUUCCAAUACAACU